GUUGGUUACCAAGAUUCAUGACAGCCAUGGUGCCUCGUCUUUGUCUGAACGUUCUCGUUAUAUUUCUCCUGACGAUCGACCAGGUCGUCUGUGCAGAUGCUGACGCUGCUGGUCUUUCUUCGGUGAAAACCGUGAACCAGAAGCACCUUAUGAAUGUUCGUUACACCAGACUCAACCAACAUGCGACUCGAGGGGCGCCUACGAAUGUCCAGCCAGGAGAUCUUGGCCCUUCCUGCCGCGAGAGGGCUCGCUUGACCGCAGGGAUGGAAGUGACCAGGUCUCGAGCGAGAUUCGGAGGAUACGGCGGGUUCGGCACGUACGGACACCCACUGAAGGAGGAUACGCCGUCUGGUGCCUGAACCUCUCGCAAAAUGACAAAGCAGCUGAUGUGAAAUAUUCUUGAGUUUAUGUAGCCGCCUCUUUCUGGAGUCAGAAUAAUUUUUAGUAAGACGCAAGUGGUAUCUGCGUUGAGCUGAAGCGCCCCCCGUCAGUUGAAAAGAGCCAUGCUGGUGAGAGUUUUCGUUUUGUUGGCAGCGAUGCAACUGUGACUCGUGCAUUUCCUAGUCGUUGGUGAUCCAGCCAAGUGCAGUUCCGACCAAAAGAGCCUCCGUUGCUGUGAGAAUGACGCCCUUUAUCGGUCCAGAUCGUGGGGCUCAUACGAUUGCACUAAAAUAGCUCCCUUUCCCUUGAAAUUGAAUCUACUAUUACUUUAAACCAAUUAUUUGCAAUUAAUAUUGAUGACUUACCGUCGGUUUUCCUUUCAUCUGUGGUUUAAGUCACAUUCCACUGUUUCUGCUGCGUGUUAUUUGUUUAGAGCAAAUAUGAUACGCUGUGUACGAUAAUCGGCCUGAGGACCGGAAGUAGUAAACGUGGAAUUUUAAAUAAAAAUCAGCGAUACAGACAUUAA